rfam:Gorilla gorilla gorilla genomic chromosome, chr10, whole genome shotgun sequence
GCCAGGCAUGGUGGUGCAUGCCUGUAAUCCCAGCUACUUGGGAGGCUGAGGCAGGAGAAUUGCUUGAACCCAGGAAAUGGAGGUUGCAGUGAGCUGAUAUUGUGCCAUUGCACUCCAGCCUGGGUGACAGAGCAAAACUCUGUCUCAA